CAUUUUUUGAUCCCGCCGUUCACACUGUCUCACGGUGAAACCGCGAAUGGCUCAUUAAAUCAGUCGAGGUUCCUUAGAUGACACGAUCCUACUUGGAUAACUGUGGCAAUUCUAGAGCUAAUACAUGCUUACCAAGCUCCGACCCUCGCGGAAAGAGCGCUUUUAUUAGUUCAAAACCAAUCGUCGUUGCCCUUCACGGGGCGCGGCGUUCCCACUGGUGACUCUGGAUAACUUUGUGCUGAUCGCAUGGCCUUAUGUGCCGGCGACGCACCUUUCAAAUGUCUGCCCUAUCAAAUGUCGAUGGUACGUGACAUGCCUACCAUGUUUGUAACGGGUAACGGGGAAUCAGGGUUCGAUUCCGGAGAGGGAGCAUGAAAAACGGCUACCACAUCCAAGGAAGGCAGCAGGCGCGCAACUUACCCACUCCCGGCACGGGGAGGUAGUGACGAAAAAUAACAAUACGGGACUCUAUCGAGGCCCCGUAAUUGGAAUGAGUACACUUUAAACCCUUUAACGAGGAUCUAUUGGAGGGCAAGUCUGGUGCCAGCAGCCGCGGUAAUUCCAGCUCCAAUAGCGUAUAUUAAAGUUGUUGCAGUUAAAAAGCUCGUAGUUGGAUCUCAGGUGCAGGCGGGCGGUCCGGCUCGCGCCGGUUCACUGCCCGUGUCUCCUGCCCUACCGUCUGCCGGCUCUCUCCCGUGGGUGCUCUUCGCUGAGCGUCCCGGGUGGCCGGCGCGUUUACUUUGAAAAAAUUAGAGUGUUCAAAGCAGGCCUCGGCUAGCCUGAAUAAUGGUGCAUGGAAUAAUGGAAUAGGACCUCGGUUCUAUUUUGUUGGUUUUCGGAACAGAGGUAAUGAUUAACAGGGACAAACGGGGGCAUUCGUACUGCGGCGUUAGAGGUGAAAUUCUUGGAUCGCCGCAAGACGAGCUACUGCGAAAGCAUUUGUCAAGAAUGUUUUCAUUAAUCAAGAACGAAAGUCAGAGGCGCGAAGACGAUCAGAUACCGUCGUAGUUCUGACCAUAAACGAUGCCGACUAGCGAUCCGCAGGAGUUGCUUCGAUGACUCUGCGGGCAGCUUCCGGGAAACCAAAGUGUUUGGGUUCCGGGGGAAGUAUGGUUGCAAAGCUGAAACUUAAAGGAAUUGACGGAAGGGCACCACCAGGAGUGGAGCCUGCGGCUUAAUUUGACUCAACACGGGAAAACUCACCCGGUCCGGACACUGUAAGGAUUGACAGAUUGAUAGCUCUUUCUUGAUUCGGUGGGUGGUGGUGCAUGGCCGUUCUUAGUUG
rnacentral:rRNA from 1 species